rnacentral:lncRNA from 1 species
AGUACAUGGUAUAUAAUACACAAUUGGGUAUGCAAAUAAACUCUUUUGGUUAACUAGAACAAGAUAUUGCGAUAGCACGCUAUGUUUUUGUUCUUGCAUUGAGGAUGGGGGAUUGGCUCUCGCCCAACAGCAUUUUUUUUUUAUCUACUUCGAUUCACAACAGAAUCUGACAUCUACUUAGUUCCUGUGGCCUUAAAGGAUAGCAAAGUGUCCACUGAUUGCGCACUUGAGUCUCAGCAGAUGUGAUUGGUCAUCCGUAUUUUGUACGCCUACUUAUUAAACAUGCUUAGCUGCUUUUUCCAUUCCAUGUCCAGCAGUAUAUUAGGUGGCAGAGGUGGUCCUCUUGUUAAAAAGUAUGUUUCCAAGGAAAGUUAACGUCUCCUUUUGUGCCACUGGUUUCAUCUCGUUUCCCAGUGUUCCUGUUCAGUGCACCACAUCUGCCGUAUCUGCUUUUUACCAGAGGGGCAUUUAUUUAUUUGCGACAGCUUGAAAAUUGGGGUCCAUGACCGUAACUGGUAUAGACUCCCGUCUACCCAGGCUUUUGCUGUUCAUUCCGACUGUGCGUAAUCAAGUUCUGUGCAAAUGCAUGACACUGUUUUGACCCUGUUUACAAUCCCUAGGCCUCAUCUGAAAGUGCUUGCAACUCAAAUUUUGAAAGGUUCGACAAAACCAUUUACAUCAGUGCUGACUCAUUCCGCCAUCAUGUUGAGGGGAAAAAAGGUUUUCCUUGAUUACUCCCUCCAUCUGCCAUUGGCUACAUGUCCCGCCCCUUAACUCAUGCCAUUGGUUGAGCUAAUAAUGCGGCAUCAGGCAGGUCAGUAUGUUUCCAUUAUUACACUUUAUGAGGCAACUAACAAAUGACUGACUUAUAGUUGUCUGUAUGUAUUAAACUGGGAAACAAGAACGCAUUUUGACAUUAAAAAUUAGUUUUACCUUUGAGGUUUUCAUUCAGCCUGUCUAUGAAUCUUAAAGGGAUAGUUGGAUAGUAAAUGAAAAUUCUGUCAUUAAUUACUCAUCCUCAUGUCGUUGAAUGUCAAAGUCUGACACGGAAGAGAAGAAAUUGUUGAAUAAAGUCAAGGUUUUUUUAAUUUGCGCACAAAAAGUAUUCUCGUAGCUUCAAAACAUUAUGGUUGAACCACUGAUGUCAUGGGCUAUUUUAACAAUGUCCUCAAUAUGUUUGUUGGCCACAAAAUGUUUCAGUUGCGUUGCAGUCUAUACAGGGUCAGAAAGCUCUCGGAUUUCAUAAAAAAUAUCUUAUUUUGUGUUCUGAAGAUGAACGGAGGUCUUACUGGUUUGGAAAGACAUAAGGGUGAUUAAUUAAUGACAGAAUUUUCAUUUUUGGGUGAACUAUCCCUUUAUAGGCAGUUGCAGUUCCAGUUUUGGCUUCAAACAGUGUAGCAUUAGCAUAUGUCAAUUAAGUAGAUUUUAACAAAAUUAGUAAAAAGAUCACUACUUCCACGCUACGGUUUCAAAAUUGUAAAAAGAAUCACUACUUCCACGCAGGUUUCCCCAAAGGCUCCCUCCAUCUGCCAUUGGUCAAAUGAACAGAUAGUCUCGCCCUCAAACUCAUGCCAUUGCUUGAGCCAAUACUGAGGUUUUGGGCAGGUCAGUAUUCUACAGUUUUUACACUUUUUAAAGGGAUUUACCUACAGAUGUCUGACCUAUAGUUGUCUGUACAUAUUAAGAUGAGAUUAAGAAGGUGAUGUCAUACUUAGGAGAAGCUGGUUGUUUAUUUAAAUUCGUUAACUCUGUGUGACUGUAGCGUAAUGUGCUAGCAGAAAGUAUUUGAAAGUAGCAACUCAAAGCCUUAGAGGAAGCGUCGGUCUACUGAGCAUGAUUCAUUCUAAACAGAUCAUCGCAUAUUUUGC